rnacentral:lncRNA from 1 species
AAAUAUACUAAAAACACAGCAAAUAAAAACUCCAGGUUGACUGCCCAUAUUUUGUGUCUUUCCCAGCCACUGAAAGCAGCCAAGACCCAUUUCAACCUGAGAAGUGCAAAGCCCAGAAAGCAACACACGCUGCAGCAGUUUAUCCAUACUGAAAGAUGCCAAGCACGUCAGUAACAGACACAAGCAGCUGGAAGGAGAUGCUGACGGAAGUGCUAUUACAGCCAGGAGGUCGUUUCAUCAAGCUCCAUGAGGAAGGAUAGGGAAAGGGACAGGGACAGGGGCAAGAAGUGGGAGUGAGAGCAGUGCUGGGGUGAGUCAGCUCUACAGAAGGAAGCUCUGCUCCAUCCCCCUACCUGGCUGCACCAACCCUAAUCCACACAGCCUUGGCUAGAGGAUUGCCAAUGAAAGGAGUCUUACAAGGCAUCCUGCCACUCAUAAAAUGUUCGUUUGCUAUCUGAAAAAGGAAUCCUACUGUCCCUAAAUAGAUUUGAUUUUUCUCCAGAGCUGUAAAUUCAAUUAUCUGGUAUUAUCACCCAGCUGAUGAGCAUCAGAAGGGAAACAUGGAGUAUAUCUUGUGAAUGAGA